AACGAACGCUGGCGGCAUGCCUAACACAUGCGAGUCGAACGAGACCUUCGGGUCUAGUGGCGCACGGGUGCGUAACGCGUGGGAACCUGCCCUUAGGUUCGGAAUAACUCCCCGAAAGGGGUGCUAAUACCGGAUAAUGUCUUCGGACCAAAGAUUUAUCGCCUUUGGAUGGGCCCGCGUUGGAUUAGCUAGUUGGUAGGGUAAAAGCCUACCAAGGCGACGAUCCAUAGCUGGUCUGAGAGGAUGAUCAGCCACACUGGGACUGAGACACGGCCCAGACUCCUACGGGAGGCAGCAGUGGGGAAUAUUGGACAAUGGGCGAAAGCCUGAUCCAGCAAUGCCGCGUGAGUGUUGAAGGCCUUAGGGUUGUAAAGCUCUUUUACCCGGGAUGAUAAUGACAGUACCGGGAGAAUAAGCUCCGGCUAACUCCGUG
rnacentral:rRNA from 1 species